UACAGAGGUCUCAAGCGUUGUUCGGAUUCAUUGGGCGUAAAGGGUGCGUAGGCGGCGCGGAAAGUCAGAUGUGAAAUCCGAAGGCUCAACCUUCGAAUAGCAUCCGAAACUUCCAUGCUCGAGAUUUGUAGAGGAGUCUGGAACUCUCGGUGUAGCAGUGAAAUGCGUGGAUAUCGAGAAGAACGCUCGUAGCGAAGGCGAGACUCUGGGCAAGUUCUGACGCUGAGGCACGAAGGCUAGGGGAGCAAACGGG
rnacentral:rRNA from 1 species